GGCCUGUGAUGCUCACAAAUUGUCCGUACCAUCUGAGAUACUCUCUCGUUGAUGCAUUCAAUCAAUCAGUUAAUUUAUGAGGCCU